rnacentral:rRNA from 1 species
CAGCAGCCGCCGCGGGAAUACGGAGGGUGCAAGCGUUAAUCGGAAUUACUGGGCGUAAAGCGCACGCAGGCGGUUUGUUAAGUCAGAUGUGAAAUCCCCGGGCUCAACCUGGGAACUGCAUUUGAAACUGGCAAGCUAGAGUCUCGUAGAGGGGGGUAGAAUUCCAGGUGUAGCGGUGAAAUGCGUAGAGAUCUGGAGGAAUACCGGUGGCGAAGGCGGCCCCCUGGACGAAGACUGACGCUCAGGUGCGAAAGCGUGGGGAGCAAACAGGAUUAGAUACCCCAGUAGUCCCUGUCUCUUAUAC